CAUAGUGUUGCAGGCGAACGAGGGGAAGUGAAACAUCUCAGUACCCUUAGGAAAAGAAAUCAAUUGAGAUUCCCUCAGUAGCGGCGAGCGAACGGGGAUCAGCCCAUUAAGUUAUGUGUGUUUUAGUGGAACGCUCUGGGAAGUGCGAACGUAGAGGGUGAUAUUCCCGUACACGAAAGGGCACACAUAAUGAUGACGAGUAGGGCGAGGCACGUGAAACCUUGUCUGAAUAUGGGGGGACCAUCCUCCAAGGCUAAAUACUCCUGACUGACCGAUAGUGAACCAGUACCGUGAGGGAAAGGCGAAAAGAACCCCUGUGAGGGGAGUGAAAUAGAUCCUGAAACCGCAUGCAUACAAGCAGUGGGAGCACCUUCGUGGUGUGACUGCGUACCUUUUGUAUAAUGGGUCAGCGACUUAUAUUCAGUAGCGAGGUUAACCGUAUAGGGGAGCCGUAGAGAAAUCGAGUCUUAAUAGGGCGUUUAGUUGCUGGGUAUAGACCCGAAACCAGGCGAUCUAUCCAUGAGCAGGUUGAAGGUUGGGUAACACUAACUGGAGGACCGAACCCACUGUCGUUGAAAAGCCAGGGGAUGACUUGUGGAUAGGGGUGAAAGGCUAAUCAAGCCUGGUGAUAGCUGGUUCUCCCCGAAAGCUAUUUAGGUAGCGCCUCGGACGAAUACCAUAGGGGGUAGAGCACUGUUUCGGCUAGGGGGUCAUCCCGACUUACCAAACCGAUGCAAACUCCGAAUACCUAUGAGUACUAUCCGGGAGACAGACUGCGGGUGCUAACGUCCGUAGUCAAGAGGAAAACAAUCCAGACCGCCAGCUAAGGCCCCAAAAUCAUAGUUAAGUGGGAAACGAUGUGGGAAGGCAUAGACAGCUAGGAGGUUGGCUUAGAAGCAGCCACCCUUUAAAGAAAGCGUAAUAGCUCACUAGUCGAGUCGGCCUGCGCGGAAGAUGUAACGGGGCUAAAACUAUGUGCCGAAAGCUGCGGGAUUUGACAUUAGUCAAGUGGUAGGGGGAGCGUCUGUAGCCCGAUGAAGGUGUAUGAGAGUAUGCUGGGAGGUAUCAGAGUGCGUAUUGCCUGAACGUGGAGUUACCGACAAAAACGGG
rnacentral:rRNA from 1 species